rnacentral:rRNA from 1 species
UGGGAAUAUUGGGGCAAUGGGGGGAAACCCUGACCCAGCAACGCCGCGUGAAGGAAGAAGGCUUUCGGGUUGUAAACUUCUUUUACCAGGGACGAAGGACGUGACGGUACCUGGAGAAAAGCCACGGCUAACUACGUGCCAGCAGCCGCGGUAAUACGUAGGUGGCAAGCGUUGUCCGGAUUUACUGGGUGUAAAGGGCGUGUAGGCGGGAGAGCAAGUCAGAAGUGAAAUCUAUGGGCUUAACCCAUAAACUGCUUUUGAAACUGUUCUUCUUGAGUAUCGGAGAGGCAGGCGGAAUUCCUAGUGUAGCGGUGAAAUGCGUAGAUAUUCGGAGGAACACCAGUGGCGAAGGCGGCUUGCUGGGGCUCUAACUGACGCCGAGGCUCGAAAGUGUGGGGAGCAAACAGGAUUAGAUACCCUGGUAGU